GGUGUGUCAACGACAAGACGCGCACCCAGAGGAUCCAGCUGCAGUGUCAGGACGGCAGCACGCGCACCUACAAAAUCACCGUGGUCACGGCGUGCAAGUGCAAGAGGUACACCCGUCAGCACAACGAGUCCAGCCACAACUUUGAAAGCGUGUCGCCCGCCAAGCCCGCCCAGCACCACAGAGAGCGGAAGAGAGCCAGCAAAUCCAGCAAGCACAGUCUGAGCUAGACCUGGACUGACUAGAAAGCAUCUGCUACCCAGAUUUGAUUGCUUGGAAGACUCUCUCUCGAGCCUGCCAUUGCUCUUUCCUCACUUGAAAGUAUAUGCUUUCUGCUUUGAUCAAGCCCAGCAGGCUGUCCUUCUCUGGGACUAGCUUUUCCUUUGCAAGUGUCUCAAGAUGUAAUGAGUAGUUUGCAGUGAAAGCCAGGCAUCCUGUAGUUUCCAUCCCCUCCCCCAUCCCAGUCAUUUCUUUAAAAGCACCUGAUGCUGCAUUCUGUUACAGUUUAAAAAAAAAAAAAAACAAAAAACGCUCCUUUCCCUAAACCCCUUCCCAAACUAAAUCCCUCCGAACCAGAGAAGUUCGUGGAAAAAAAUGUAUCUUCCCAGAACAUUUCAGAAAGGGGCUUUUCCAGUCGUUUUUAUGGGAAUAGUUUGACAGCCAGGGGUUAGUUUUGAAAGAGAGGCAAACCUUGUGACAUUUCACUUCAAAAAACAGCCCGGUGGCAUUUUUCCAGUCUCAGUGUGAAAUUAUCCCCCUGAAUGUUGACCUCUCUGGGAGUGGAAUGCCAGCAAUUCAUGGCAGCAGCUAAUAGGUAAAGCCGGUUAUUUAUUUGUCAAUGUUGUUAUUUAAUGAGCUCUUGCAUGUGAUUUUUUUUCAAAAUGUUAAUUUUUUUUAUGUUUUGAAGCUUUUUCAUGUACCUAAAUAUUUCCCAAUACGAUUUGUGGUUGGUCUAGAAAUAUGAAAAUAUCUGUUGUAGAUAUGUAAAAUAAAUGUUUUACUCUCCGUAUAUAUUGCACGGUUCACCAUCAUCAUUAGCGUGGUUUUCUGUAAAGCUGAAGUAUGUAAUACUUUAUUAUUUAGUCCAUGAAAUCAGAUGGCAGCUUGAUCUUCAAUGCCAUUGGUUUCCUUUAAUAAACAUAAACACUGCUCAACGCUGUUGUCCUUGCCUCUAACAUGUAUAAAAAGGUACAUGCUUGCAGACAUUGUAAAAUAAAGUUAUACGCUGU
rnacentral:lncRNA from 1 species